CUUAAAAUAUGGCCUGUUGGCUUUACUGAAUCAGUGCCUUAGUCACAGCUGCUUCGGAGGAGUUUUGCUCAGAGGAAGAUGCAAUCAAUGCCUUCUCUUGCCUUGGAAUUUUCCCAGUUUCGUCAUGACUGAUUCAGCUGAUGAAUUUCUCUGAGCUGACACUGUCGCCCUGCAAUAAAUGAAGCUUACCUGGACACGGCAAUUCUUCUCUCAACAAUGUCUGUUUUCUUUGGAAUCGUUUAGAUGAGUCAGGAUGGUAACACCGCAGCCCCCUCCUCGCUGUGGUCAGAGGUCCCUGGAGGUUUUCAGAAGGGUAACUGCGUGGUGCUGAGGGAUAGAGGGGAUGGGGAUGGGCUGGGGGUGUGCUGGAUGCUCUUGGUAAUCUUUUCCAACCUUUAUGAUUCUAAAGGCGGAGCGCUCUUCCCCAUGUGAAUGUGUUAGAGUGGACUAUGGGGCGAAUUCUGCUCUUCCUCUGUCAAGAUGAGUGAGCCUGGACUGAUCUGCAGUUUAAAGAUCCACGCUCGUGGGGUGGUUCUCCAUGCGUUAAGUCAGGGAAAGAGUCGUGCUGAGCUGGGCAGCCCUUCCACUCUUGGUACAAAGAAAAAUAGAUGAUGUAGCAUGCUGUCAGCUGAAGCUGCGUUGGCAGAAUGUAAGGACUCAGCUCUCUGGCAACAGAUGGGCUACAGGCUUCUUCUGACACGAUCUGCCAUCCAGCAUAUGUUAGGCUGAGACACCAAGGGGGUUUAGACUGAGGCUUUACCUUUAAAGAAAGAAAAUGUCUUAGCUGCUGCUGAGCAGGUGGCCUUACAGCAUGCAGUCAAUGGGACGAACGUGACUGCUUGGUUGUGUGGUGAGGGGAUGGUCUCAUAGCACAGGGCAGGAACUGGAGCGCCAUUCGUUGUAGUGAGCCAUGAUGGAUUUCUCUUGGAAUUCCUCUUCUCUGCACAUCAUCAUAUUGGCACAUUUACGUAAGGGUGGCUGGUUUGAAGGAUGGAAAACCCUUGGUGGGGGCAGAGCAGCCUCCGCAAUAUCCAAAUGCAUCGUCUUGCCAGUUUGACCUCUUGCUGCAAGCACUGUCUUGAUAUUUAAGUCACAGUGCUUUAGAAUACACACCUCAUCUCUGGAGUCUUGACUGUUCUGGGUUUUAUUUGUAUUUCCCCGUGGGAGCAAUGGCCAAUUGGUACAAACCACGAGCAGUCAUACCUAAGUAUGAACUGCCUCGCUUGCAUUUUCUCCAUCAAAACUCUGACUACGGCAAUUCUUCUCUUUAAGCACCUUCCAAUUGCAACUCUUGGCCGGAGCACCAAGAGCUUUCCUAUCACAGCGCAGGUUCGGUG
ensembl:lncRNA